rnacentral:lncRNA from 1 species
AUGAAACCAAACACCCUACAUCAUCAAAACGCUACAAACAUAAAAUCAACAAACCAUUCACAUUCAGAGUCAGAACAGAACAUGUUAUAUUAUCUCAAGAUUAUAGUAACUUAAACAUAAUGAUAAUCGAACCAUAAAAUCAACAAAUUAGAAAUUCUGCUAUUGAUUUCAACACCACCAAAAUUCUCCAAAACAAAAAGCAAUACAUAAGACUCAAAAAUUUCAUAAAAAUUAAACAUAAAUUAAAAACAAUUUUAUUUCUUAAUCAUAUCAUCAGGUACCAUCCUAAGCUGCUUCCUCUGCUUAGACUUAGCAAUCUUCUUCAAAGUUUUCGGAUUCGUAAUCUUCUGAAACUUCGUUCCAGAUUUCAAAACAUUCUCCUUCUUCCUCUUCUCACUCUCUUCUCUCUUCUUUCUCUUCUCCACCUUAUUCAUCCUUAUCGCCUCUUUCAACUCCGUCAUCUUCUCCUUAUACGCCGUCUUAAUCCUCUUCUCUCUCGCUCUCUCCUCAAACGUAGUCCCUUUCUUGCUCACCUGAAGAGCUGAAGCGCGACGAGUACGGACUUGCUUCCAUUUUCUGCCGGAGACUUUUCCGGCGAUGACCCCGUCGUAGGUUGGGGCACCGAAGGAGACUGCGGAGAAGGUGGGUUUGUUUGGAUCUGAUAAGGAUGGGAGAGCGGAUCGCUUAGCUGGUGGAGGAGCGGUGUCGUCGGUUUCCAUGGAUACGAUUUCUUCCAUCUUAGCGUCUUCGAUUGCUUGGGCUUGUUCGCGUUUGCGUUUGUAGGUUUUGCCGCCGAAGCCUUCAUCGAGGUGACGGAAAUCAAUGGUGCAGGCCAUUGUUGAUGUGAGAAGAGAGUGAA